GCCUUUCUAUUAUCAAGGAAAACAAACUGUUAAUUUGCCGUUAUCCAUAUUUUCGUACCAGUUAUCACACAUUUGAAUUAUAGAGAUGUAAUUGUGGAGUACCCUGGCCGGAGUCCGGAUUGGAAUUUUGAUGUAACCCAAUUUUCGUUUAAAUGUUUAUAAAGUUGUUUGGAGAUUUCUUUUUCGAAGACCUUACUCAUUAUCGGAAGAAUUGAUAUUGGUCUACAAUUACACUGAUCUGAAAGGUCAAGUGUCUUAAAUCCCUAAUUUUCUGUUUUCCUCGUGGUCGAGAAAUCGCGUAUGCGUUAGCGCAUCGCAAAAUCAGGAUGGAACAAUUAAGCCAAAAUGCCAGCGAUUCCUCGAUUUAAAUAUUAUAGUAACAAGCUCGUAUGUACGUAAUAGCCAGGUCAUGACAUGCUUGUGGUACAUUUUUCGUUUUAUUAGCCCAUACACUUAUACGCACGCGCACAAAUCCGAACUCCAAGAGUAGAGUGCUCCAGUGACAUAUUUAGUCCAGUUUCUAAAUGGCGGCUUUUCACUGAGUGAUCUAUAUACAGGGUGUAUAAAAAAAAGCGCAAUCCUCGACUGAAAUGUAAAUUGCUAAACAAAUAAUAGACGAAAACGUUAAAGUUUACAUUCAUUUUAAAGCGUAGUCAUUCAGCUUUCUAACAGUGGGUUGUUUCUUAAAUUUGACCCAUUGGUUCGCGGGUAAUAAUACUUUACGUUAUUGCGAUUGGAGAUUAAAAAAAUUGAGAUGGAAUUAACAAAUCGUUCUCAUGAAAAUAACUGAUUUUUUUCAUUAAAACAAAAAAAUGUUGCAUUUUAUUAAAUGGAUUGUGACAAUAAGUAUAGUUAUGGCUUUUCUUCCACUAUUUUUAACUCAGUUUGAAACUUCAAAUGCGAUAUAAUUUUGGCUUGGACCAUCUAAGUUGACUGACAUCAACUUGCUAUAAUUUCUGUUUACAUUACAUUACAUCGCAAAUUCGAUGACACUCUGGCUCAGACACCAGAAUGUUUUGACGAUUUUUAGCAUUCGUUUAGGAUUUUCAAACAACCUGGUCUCUUUUAAAAUACUUUUAAUUUGUUCUUACGUGGUUUUCCAGAUGUAGUGACGACAACAUUAAAGUUUAAAGAAGAAAAUUCUAACAUUUAAACCGACUAAACAAUAACAUAGUAAACUAGCAUAAUUAAACAGCAACUAAAAAUGAUAGGUUUUACUAAAUCUUUUCCUGUGCAAUUAUUACAAGCAUUGGGAACAAGGAUAAUAGUUUAUUUGAA